CCACCCCAUUACAAGAAUAUUAAUUAACAAGAUCAUAAUUGUCCAUCUAAUACAAGUAGACCAAGAACAAUUAAAAUUAAUCAUGUAUAGAAUCCAUUUAGCUGUUAGCUUUCUUCAAAAACCCUAACUUUUUCAUGUACCAAAUUCACAAUUAUUUGGUUCUCACACGAUGUUCAGUACUUGAUUAAUUUGAAUUCCUACCGAAAAGUAUUGUUGGGAGUAAAACCUCCCGAUCGAGGUACUUUCGUUCUAUUUUACUAUAUAGCAGUUUUGAAUCUGCCGUUCGCUCUUUUGCAAGUGCUCGUCUAGCUCCCGCUCCUUGAUCUCUUCUUUUUGUUUUUAACCGUAUCCCUUCGUUCAACCCUAUGGGUUUUUUUUCCACUAUAGUGAUAUUUCUUUGCUACUUCUUUUCUCGGCUAAUGGAAAAAAAAUCUUCUUUUUACCCUGCCAAGCGCCAUUCAUUUCCAAAUAGUAAACGUGUUGCUGAACUCAGCGCUCCUUACCAAAGACGACUUCAUCUUUUUUUUAUACAGUAAUUAACAUCAUCGAAAUUCAAAACACCAGCAUGAUUUUUGGUCUAUCACACUUUGAAACUUCUUCCAAUAAACUUUAAGCUUUGCAUGUUUAUGAAUAUCCAUGUAUAUAUAUAUACAACCUACUGCAAAAAAAAAAAAAAAAGAAAAGGAAAUUCAGUACCAAUUAAUUUAUGGAACCUAUUAACUAAUAUGCAAAGUAAAUAAAACAAAGAAAAGAACUCACAUAUAUAAAUAUCACAUAGAGAAAAAACAUACUACAAGGUAAGCUUGACCUUCUUCCAAUAAACUUUAAGCUUUGCAUGUUUAUGAAUAUCCAUGUAUAUAUAUAUACAACCUACUGCAAAAAAAAAAAAAAAAAAAAGGAAAUUCAGUACCAAUUAAUUUAUGGAACCUAUUAACUAAUAUGCAAAGUAAAUAAAACAAAGAAAAGAACUCACAAAUAUAAAUAUCACAUAGAGAAAAAACAUACUACAAGGUAAGCUUGAGUACAUUUACUUCUUUUAAUCUAUAAAGGCAGCUCGGUGCAUUAAAACUUUCAUUAUGCACAGAGUUCAAGAAAUUAAUUAGAACCCAAUCACAAGGGUCUAUUGCGCGGAGCUUUACCUUGCAUUUCUAAAUAAGACAGUUUUCAAAACUUGAAAACGUGACAUUCUAGCAACAUGACAACAGCAACUUUAACGAUAACUCCAACGUUCCUCUUCACUUCUUUCAAUCUAUAGGGAUAUAAAAAUUGAAAAAAGCAAUUGAAUGUAAGUUUUGUAUACUGACAGUGUAUACUAAUAUAUUCACAUCAUCAAAUAAAGUUAUCGACCUGUAUAUUAACACCUAAGUAAUGAUAACAAACGGGGUUUAUAACAUGUUAAAUUACACUGAUAACGUAAAAAAAAUAUAAACUAGUGAAUGAAACAUUAAUUAAAGGGAAGUGGAUAUAAUAGGGAGCUCCCUUCAGUCCAAGACGUGACAGCGAUAGCUAAACACAGCUCAUGCAUCGUUGAAUCUCAAACACGUCAAAUUUCCAAAACUCCAUCUUGUUUACGACGUGCUUAAGAAUCAACGAGUCAUCAGCUGUAUUUUUAGUUAUCGACUGCCUCGGACUGGACUGGAGAGAGCUCCUUAUUCUCCAUUGCCCUAAAUGAAAGAACCAAAAAGCAAAAAACAUGCAUAGCACAUACAAUAACAUUUAAUUGAAAAGAUCAUUCCAUUUUUUUUAUUUUCUUUUUGGAAUUAUAAUUUUAUCAAAAAUAUAAAGUCAUGUGAAUCAUAAGUGAAAUGUGUAUGGUAAGUGGUAACAAUAAAAGGAAGAGGGAAAUAUAUAAGGGGUAUUGGGAACAAGAAAAUCUAAGUGUAGAUUUAGAGCAGUGUACGAAGCUAUAUACAAAUUCGGAUUCGCAUCGCGUAACGCUCAUUAUAGAGGAACUUUUUCGUACUAGGAUUUUUUUUUAACGAGAAUAAGAUUAGAAUCCGGGACCUCUAAUUAAAGACCGUAUCAUUCACUUUAUUUGGCAAGCUUCGGUGCAAAUAACAACAGAUAUUUCGUGAAAUUAGUCGACAUAUGCACAAGUCGAUACGACACCUUGUCGCGAACCCAAAAUAGGAUCAUGACCGACGUCAAGGAGGUUAAAACUCCAAAGCAAGCCUCGUCAGCAAUGGCGGAGCGAGAAUUUUCAUUGAGUGAAUUCAGAAGUAUAUAUACGAACCAGUCGAAGGGUAUUCAACAUCUACUAUAUAUGUAUAAAAAAUAUUUUUAACCGUGUAAAAAUAGUAUUUAAAUAGUAUAAUUUUUCGUCGAAGGGGUUUCGGUCCCCCUAGAACAAAGGUUGCACCGCCACUGCUCGUCAGUAAUCUACAGAAAAUCAGACAGAAUUUUUCCUGUUUUUAGGCCUAUCCAAAAUUUUCCAGUCUCAAAUCAACAACGCAACAAUCAACAUCACCAACACAAUUUGCCAAUAUUAUCAGCAAUCAUUCACCACAACAUAUCAAUACGAAAUCCGUCUCCAAAAUAUGAGAAGAAGUCAAAACUCCACAAGUCCAUAAUAACAAAAGAAUACUCAGCAAAGGAAAUUUAACUGAGCGAUUCUAAGAAUUCAAAUAAUAGACUAUAAUGAAUAAAUGAACUUGCUGCCAAUGCGAACAAAUGGGGCUCACGGGAACACACCAAUUCUUAUGCUCUAGUUAACGAAAUUCUCACUGUCACCUCUGUUCUCUGAAAACAAAUAGCGAUGAGUGAUUCGCUAGUAAUAACCUUUUUAAAAGAGGACAAGUCAGGUUAGAAUUCGAGACCUCUAGUUAAAGAUCAUGCCAUUGAUUUUGUUUGACAAAUUUUAAUAGAAAUAUCAGAUAUUUCGUAAAAUUAAUAGAUAUGACACAACAUUUAUCAAGAGUUGUACAACUUUAGCUAAUACUCCUAUAUAGUAGGAAAAAAAAACAAAAGGCCUAGUACACUGAUUAUACAUCAAAUCAAACAGAUGUAUGGUUCAAAUUUUACGUAAGACAUAAGUUACUAUGUAUAUUUGGGCACGACAUUAUCAUACUAUUCUAAAAUUGGAAUGACCUAAUAACAUGCAAGUUCUAAUUGAGUACGUGGACUAAAUUAUUCGAAAAUUAUAAAUUUAAAAUUAUAAUUUUUAGAUUAGCUGGUGGAUAAAAAACCUUAAGAUCCAUCAACCAUAUAUUAAGUCCACAAUGAAGCACUACUACUUUCCAUUCAUUUUAUAUAUCAUACUUUUCUGCUUAAUUCGUCUCAAAAAUUGUUACUUUACUAUAAUUAAAAAUAAUUUAGCAUUAAAAUUCUCUUUUUAUUCUUAAAUAAAAUAAUUUAUAGUCUUGAAUUAUUUCAAACCACAAAUAUUAAAAACUUUUUUUUUCUUAAAUGGUAUAUCAAAUUAAAGAGUGUCACAUUAAAGGGUCGUUUGGUAGAGUGUAUAAGAAUAAUGCAAAAUAUCUUGUAUUAGUAAUGUUUGUGUUAGUUAUGCUUGCGUUAGUUAUACUUGCAUUUUUCUCAUGUAGAAUUUGGUUUGAUGUAUCAAAAAUAUAUGAUUUGGUGUAUCAAAAAUAUAUGAAUUGUAUAAAACAAAGAAUUAAAAAAUAUUUUUAUAUACAUGGUGGAAAGGAUGUGGAAAAGAUUUGGAGAGAAAAUUGUCUUUAAUUGUGAUAAUGCAUGCAUUAGAAUCCAUUGUCUUACUAAUGUCGUGGAUUUUGAGAUAUUAGCAAUACACCUCUUGAUACACAAUAAAGUGUAUAAUGAAUGCUUGCAUUAGUUACAUAUAGGUUAAAAAAAUAUAUCAAACAAGAUUUUAGUAGUACACAUAACUAAUGCAUGCUUUAUUUUUUAAUACACUCUAUCAAACGACCCCUAGUGUAUUGGAAUGUUAAUGCAUGUAUUAGUUUAAUGUGUACUAGUACUUAGUAGUAUCUUGUUUGGUAUAUUUUUUUAUCCUAUGUAAAGCUAAUGCAAGCAUUAGUUAUACACUCUAUUGUGUAUUACUAAUAUCUUAAAAUCCAUGACAUUAGUAAUGCAAUAGAUCUAAUGCAUGCAUACUAUUACCCCUCAAUUUUUUUUUUACAUCCUUUCCAACAUAUAUAUGGAGGAUAUUAUACAAAAAAAUAAUAAUUAAAAAUUAUGUAAUUCAUGUUAUUUUUAAUACAUCGAACCAAACACUAUAUAAGAAACAACACAAGCAUAACUAACACAGAUAUUACUAAUACAAGCAUUACUAAUAUACCAUAUUUUGCAUUAUUCUUAUACACUCUGUCAAACGCCCCCUAAAUGAAAUGGAGGAGUAUUAAGAACACAUUUUUCACCUUAAAGAAAUGACCAAAAAAGAAAAAAAAAAUAGAAAAAUAGCAUGAAAUUUAGUACUCCCUCCGUUUCAGAAUAAGUGAAUUGUUGGGAUAUUUAUUGGUGUUUCAAAAUAAGUGAAUCAUUAAAUUUUUUCUAAAUUUUUCCUUGUGAUUUGACAACCAAUUAACUUUUGAAAAGGUAUUACAAGGUCAGUUUUUUUGGGGGGGAGGGGUAAAAAUAGAAAGUUGUGUUAAAUUUAUGUCUUUAAUGCUUUUUUCUUAAUCUACGUGUCAAAAUUCAACAAUUCAUUUAUUAUAAAAUGGAAGAAGUACUAAAAAUUGAUGAGUUGACAGAUUGAAAUGACAAGUCUUACUGGCCAAGUGUAUGAAGGGGGUACUUCAUUGUCCCACCCAUAAUGGGAAUCCUAAGAAAAAUACAACAAUCUUUGAGUUAUCUAGUCAUCAAAAUUACUUUUCAAAUCUAACAUAAAAAUAAAUCUUGUAAGGACAAUAUUUAGCUGCUUUUGGAUUUUGAAAAGAUAGAUGCAUGGUUAGAGGAGAACUAUAUAGUUCUAGCAUGGGAUAUUGGUCUAAGUUCUAGUUACUUACUUUCUCCGUUACACUUUUAUUUGUUACAUUUCACUUUUUAAAAGUUAAACUAGAUGAAACUUUGGCUGAUAUUUUAAGAUUUUUUUUAAUCAUAUGAAUAUGAGACGAUUGCAACUUAUAGUAUUUAUUAUAUAAUUUUUGAAUAUUUAAAUUUAAAAUUUUAUAUUAAUCUAUUUCAAUCUAACUUUGAAGUUUAGUCAAAUUGACUUUCGUGAAACGAAAUAUCACCAUUACUCGAUACUUAAGAAAAUUCAAAAUUUAUAACAAAUGAUACCGUGUCACUAAUGAAGGUUGUGAUGAAAUGAUAAGUACUCUUUCAUCUUUAAUUAAGGUCUAGAGUUUGAGUCCCCAUGAUAUAGUGUCGCCUUUCUUAUGGAGCGGUUUAACCAGGGGCGAAACUAGCUAAUAGUGAGGGGGUUCAUCCUAACCCCCUUUGGCUAAAAAUUAUACUAUUUAUACAAGCUUAUAAUUAUUUUUCGUGUAUAUAUAGCAGACGUUGAACCCCAUUCGACUAGUUCUUUUGUUCACGUUUUUUUAUUUUUGAACCCCUUAGUUAAGAUGCUAGCUUCGUCACAGGGUUGAAACCCCCACCCCCACCCCUCUCCAACCUAAUGUGGGACUUCUCAACAUGAAUUUGAGUUUAUUCAGGUUCUAAUGCGUAUACCAGACACUGGGUGAGAAUUUUUCUUUUUUUAAAAAUAAAAAAGAGAAAGAGAGAGAUACCUUGUCACUUGGGAAUUGGAAUUGGGUCCAAGUAAAAAAUUGGGCUUAGUUGAUUUAGCCCACAAUGUUCAAUUUGGGCACUCAUUGACAACUUUUCUUCUUAUAAUCAAGUGGGCCACUAAGCAAAAACUAUUGGGCUUGGGUAAGCAAAAUUGGGCCAAAAAUUUGACUUGGGUUAGAUAUGGCAAACUAUGGAUCCAAUUUAAGUGGAUUUCAUGAUAUUGAAUGGCCCAAGUGCAUAGAUACUCGAUUUUGCGACACUAAUAUUUAAGUCAUACUCAUAGUACAUUGAAAUUUUUCAAUCUAAUAUUUUUGAAAUAACUUCAAAUAUGUGGCGUUUGAAACUAGACAAAAUGUCUGAGGUUUUAUACGGCCUGAAUUCAAGCACAUAUCUCGUUGACUCAUUGCAUCCAGGUGAGUGAAUUCAGUUAUUUUUGCUUAAACUUUAGAUUAUUUUUUUUUCCCUAAAGUUAGACUUUGUCAAGAUACGCUCAAAUACCUCAUGUUUGAAAUGUUCUAUGAGGAAUAAAUUCUCAAAAGUGUUUUAAUAAAUGAAUACAUAUUAAAUAGCAACGAUUAUAUAGGAUGCCCCAUAAGAUCUUUACAUAAAAAGCGAAGUUGAAUAUAACUUUGAAUGAGUUAUAUCUACAUAUAUGACAUUCAUUCCUAGAAAAAAAUUAUUGAGAAAAUAAAUAAUUUUCCAUAUUAGUUUUUUUGUGUUAAGUAAAUGCAUAGAAUAAUUACACUUAAUUUUAAUGAUAAUUUUUCCCAUUUAAAUAAGAUUUAUUUCUUCUCCCCUAGGAAACCUCACCUUUUUACUUUUUUAUUUGUUUUUCAUAUAACUAUUUUACAAAGGAGAAUACAUUGAUUCCAAUCAAAAUUCUUUAAUAUAAUACAUUCUGAAUUGGCACAAGAAUCUUGUUUUUCGAUUGCAAUUUGGGAAUUUUAAGGUAUAAAUAAUUUUUUUCUGACAAUACUUGAUUAUGUUAAUACCAAAAUUAUAUUCCUGGAAUUUUUAUUAUUGUGUUUGUUAAUUGUUCUUAUGAAAUAAUUAUAAUUUACCUUGUUUCUGGGUAAUUUUCAUUAAUAAUCCAUAAAAUCUUCUAUAACGUGGCACUUUUCGAUACUAAUUUGUUAUCCUACAAAUAUUUUAGUAUUAUGUUUUUCCAUUCCCUAAUUGUUGAAUGUGAUAAUUCGUAUUAGUAAUAUAUUUUUUUCGAACUAUGUGUUAGACACUUCAAAAAUGUUGUCGGGCGAGUGUCGGAUCAUCUAAAAGUAGUGCAUUUUUGGAAUAUCCGACACGGGCGCGACAACAUUUUUGAAGAGUCCGUGCAACAUAGCUAGUGAAAGCAUGUUGUUUAAGCAAAAUAAUUAUGGGAAAUUCACUUUCCGACUAAUCGAAAUUCGUGUUAUGUAGGGUCCAGUAAAGAGGAAAGAGCUCUCUAUCGAGAAAAAAGUUGUACGUAUUAUGUUUUGCCAUUCCCUAACUGUUGAAUGUGAUAAUUCAUAUUGGUAAUAAAUUUUUUUCCAACUGUGUUUGCUUAGACACUUCAAAAAUGUUGUCGGGCGAGUGUCGGAUCAUCUAAAAGUAGUGCAUUUUUGGAGUAUCCGACACUAGCGCGACAACAUUUUUGAAGAGUCGGUGCAACAUAGCUAGUGAAAGCAUGUUAUUGCUUAAGCACAAUAUUUUGGGAAAUUCACUUUCUGAUUGAUCGAAAUUCGUGUUGUGUAGGAUCCACUAAAGAGGGAAGCGCUCGCUAUCGAGAAAAAGAAGAUGUUAAGAUUAUUGAGUGAAGUAGCAAUGGUUGGCAACACAAAGUCUCCUGAACAAGGUCUCAUUAGUACUGUUCUUCCUUUGCUUAAACUUCUUUCACUUGCAAUUUUUGGACUAAUUCUUGGUCACAAAAAGACUCAAAUUGUCCCAAAAGAAACAUUCAAACUUCUUAGCAAACUUGUCUUUGCACUUUUCUUGCCAUGUUUGAUCUUCAUUCACUUAGGACAAUCAAUCACACUCGAUAAUUUCGUGCAUUGGUGGUUUAUACCGGUUAAUGUGUUGUUGAGUACACUUGUUGGGUUCGUGUUAGGUGUGUUAGUAGUCAUCAUAUGUCGUCCACCUCAAGAGUUUACUCGAUUCACUAUCAUCAUGACCGCGUUUGGUAACACGGGGAACCUUCAUUUAGCUAUAGUUGGCUCUAUUUGUCAUAGUAUAGAUCAACCUUUUGGACCUGAUUGUAAAAGGAAUGGAGUUGCUUAUGUUUCUUUUGCUCAAUGGGUCGCGGUGAUUCUUGUUUAUACGCUUGUUUAUCAUAUGAUGGAGCCUCCGAUGGAGUACUAUGAGGUUGCCGAUGAAAGGGAGAAGGUGGAGGAGGAGCGCGGCCAGCAGGAGGAUAACGGAGUUAGCAGGCCGCUUUUAGUUGAGGCUGAGUGGCCUGGCAUUGAGGACAAAGAAACAGAAAACUCGAAAACAGCCCUAGUCGCGAGGAUCUUUAAUUCUGUCUCAAAUCUUUCGGUAGCCAAUGGACCUGAUGUCGAAAAUGAUAUACAUGAUACAGCUGAUGAUCCCGAGCCCAUUAGGUGUUUGGCUGCACCUAAAGUAAUCAAGAAAAUGAGAACAGUUGCUGAACAAACACCCGUGCAGCACAUACUUCAGCCCCCAACGAUUGCUUCUCUGUUUGCCAUACUCGUUGGGAUGGUCCCUCAUCUAAAGGCGUUCACCUUUGGAUAUGACGCUCCACUGUCUUUCAUCACGGAUAGUUUAGAGAUCUUAGCCGGUGCAAUGGUGCCAUCGGUAAUGCUUAUCCUCGGAGGAAUGCUAGCUGAGGGGCCUAAUGAAUCCAAACUUGGCCUCAGGACUAUGAUUGGGAUAUCGGUAGCAAGGCUUUUCGUGCUUCCUCUGUUGGGGAUUGGGGUGGUUACGCUGGCUAACAAGAUGAAUAUUCUUGUCGAGGGCGAUCAUAUGUAUACGUUCGUGCUUUUGUUGCAGUAUACAACACCCAGUGCAAUCUUGUUAGGAGCCAUUGCCAGCUUGAGAGGUUAUGCAGUAAGUGAAGCCUCAGCACUUAUUUUCUGGCAGCAUUUGUUGGCACUUAUUUCACUGUCAUUGUACAUUGUUGUUUACUUCAAGAUGUUUUCGUUCUCGUGAAUAACUAUGCUGCUCGGACCCUCCAAAAAUACUGUCGUACUUGUAACGGAUCCUCUUUUGAUGCUCACUAAUUUAAGUGUAUCAAAGGUAACUACCUUCUUUGGUUCCUCACUUUCUUGCUUAUUCGAAUUCGUUGUAUAGCAUAGGGUUAGCUAUGUAUGCCGACAAGUGGUCAAUUGAACACUCUUUGUUGAAAAAUUAUACUAUAUAUGCAGGUCGAAUGUUAAUUUCCGUACAUAUAUAUUAUAGCCUUGAAAGUACGCUAUUGAACACCCGUUAGUGAAAUUUCUGACUUUGCCACUGGACGUGUAGCGCCCUCUAACAGCCAAAAAGUUCUUUUCGAAAGGGCACAACUACUUGUGUAUGACUAAAAUAUACACUUGGAUAUUAUGCGUGAUCGUAUAUGUCAAAGAGGAGAACAUGAACAGAACUUGUUUAGACGUACAUCACACGAGAUACACGCGUGUGUUUUUUCUGUUUUUCUAUCAGGGGUAAUCGGAAUUUUUCGUUUUGUGUAUACUUUGGAAUUUGUAUGGUGAUACAAGAAAUAUUCAUUGUUGGCCCAAUGGGCCUUGGUGUAUCAGGCAUAUUUCAUUGGGCUAUGACUGGAUCCUAAUGCUGGGUUGGGCUUGGCAAUUGCACAUAUAGCCGAUUUUGAGAUCCCUAUUUAAGCCGAGGCCUAAAUUCAUACAUUUUUGCAAGUUUAGCGACUUUAAAUUAAAGUUGUGAAAUUCAUUUUUUAGAAAAAGGGCAGUCGGUGCACUAAAACUCCUGCGAUACGUAGGGCUAGGGAAAGUACCCCACCACAAGGGUGUAUUGUACGCAGUCUUACCUUACAUUACUACCAGAGGCUGUUUCCUAAGGUUUGAACCCGUGACCUUCUGGUCACACGACAACAAACUUUCAAUACGUAUCUGCAUUUUGAUUUCGUUAUAAUGAGUGAAUAUUCUGAAGUUUGAACUAUCAAUUUUCGUACCUACCAAUGUUUUUCAGGGUUUUCCAACUACAUCUCUUUAAUUAAACUCACUUUUCAUUGUUGAAAUUCAAUAUAUACUCUUGUUGUCACGAAAAUGGUUCAGAUUUACCCACUCUCAAUUUCUCUCGUCAAAUAAUCAAUAAACCUCUUUUGUUUCUUCAUGAUAAUAUAGUCGAGGUACAUAUAAGCCGAUUAUCGGCUUAAAUAACAAUAUGAAUUAUUAAAAAAUAAGAUUACAAAGAGUCGAGGUACAUAUAAGCCGAUCAUCGGCUUAAAUAACAAUAUGAAUUAUUAAAAAAUAAGAUUACAAAUAAUCAAAUUUGCUCCAUCAAGGAUUCAAGAUAUAUAUUUGGGUAGUUGAGCAAUAAUUGUUCUUCUAUAAUCUUCCAAAUCUUAUAUUCAAAAAUGUGAACAACGUGUCUUAAGGAGUUUGAAUUGUAGUAGGUAGCAUUUUUGACUAAAUGAGAGACAAAAGUGUAAUUAAUAGAAGUUUGAGGGCGUAAACUGACAACUCAAGGUCCUUUUUAUCAACUAAACUUUCACUAAAUUUAGGAUCGAAAUGAGAUAAGCAAGGAUGUAUAACGUAUUGAAAAGUCUUAUAAAAUUAUUUUAUCUUAUUUUUUAUAUUUGAUAAUAUGAAAUAACUUCGAGAUUAUUAUUCUCGUCACAUGUAUUAGAGGUUUCAAUUAAACUUUAUACAAAUCAAAAGUAAGAAUAUGAUUUUUCUUCUCUUAAAGCAAAUAAUGGAAAUAGAGAAGACCAUUUGACUAGGAAAAUAAAACUUUGAAUUGUAUUGGAAUGGUCCAACACUUUAUUCCAAUUCAAGAUGGCAUAAGAUUUCUUGUUCAAAAACAAGAUUUUAACUAGAACAAAAAAGUAUGUUUGGCUCCAUUCGAUGUUCGAUAUUCAUUUUAAUGUCCGAUCAGUUCAAGUUAAGUCCGUAAAGAUAAAGCGAUUUUAUUUUCAAGACGUGAAUCUGAGCUUCAAAUUAAAAAUGGAAAAGUAUUUUUACUCGACCACUGCCAAAGUUUGACACACUUCUCUUCAUUGAACACAUUGAAAAGUUUGUGGAUAACAUAAAUUUCAUUUCUAAAUUUAAUUCCAUAUUUUAUAUAUACUAUGUGAUUAUUUCAAUGAAAAGAGUUAGCUCCAUGAACUAUGGAGAGGAAUUAAUUUAGAGUCAAAUAAUGACACUAAUCUUGUUACAAAAUAAAUAGAAUAUCCAUACUUUAAUCCCUUCAAUGUCCAAAAGUAAAACUAAACUUCACAUAUUGUUGCUACCCUAGUAAACAACAAAAUUACCGUAGUUCAUUAUAUUAAUUAACAAUACAAAAGGCAUCAUCAUAGAAAUAAAAAAAAUUAUAUAUAUAUAUAUAUAUAUGUAUGUAUGUAUAUGUAUAUUGGGACAGUGAAAUUUAAAAAGUUUGAAGUUUUUUCUUUAAUCAUUUGGUAUUCGAGAUACACUAAGCAGAUCACUUUUAAUCGUGUUAAUUUUCUUUCGUAAGAUUCUUUAUUUUCGAGGUUUAAACUAGAUAUUUUGGACUAAAAUUGAAGAAGUCCAAAUUAUCUAGUUUGAUCUCAAAUAACCGUUAUUAAGGAGACGUAAACACUUUCUAUCAAAAAAUAAAUUUAUUUCAGAAGUCAAAUUUAAAAUUUUUAAUCAAGAAUUAAGGGAUCUCAAUUAUUUCAUUAUUUAUUUAUAUAAAUAUAUUUUUGGUACGUAUAUGCGGAGAAUUGGAUAAACGCAAAAUGCAUGUCUUGUUUCAUGCACCUACCAUGAGUACUAAACAUUAUUAAUAAUUUAAUAUUAGAGCAAUCUCUAUAUUAUAAAAUUAUUGAUUCUUUUCACAUGGCCCCAUUAAAUUAAAUAGAAAAAAAGACGUAGAACUACUUAAAUAACUAUGAAACAAAUAUUGUACAAUUAUAGGACAGUUUAAUGCACAAAAUAUUUCAUAUUAAUAGAGUUUGGAAAAAAGAUGUAUACUUUAAAGGAGUGAUGUAGAUAAUUUAUUUUAAUUUUAAUAUUUAUUUCGACUUUUGUGAUUCGAACUCAUAACCUAUAAAUUAUAUGGAUACAAUUUUAUCGUUGCUCCAAAAAAAUCUAUAACUAUUCUAAACAUAAUUGUCCCCACUUGAGAAUCAAAUCGACCUCUUUGGUCAACUUCAUUGAUUUUGUAUCAAUAGAUUAUACACAAAUCUUUUUGAGUGUGUUGAUAACUUUUACAUUUGGAGAAAUAUUGCUAAUAGUUUGAUUUGAUAAUCAAAUUAAUUAUAAAAGAGCAAAUAAACAAAUAAAUCAACAAAAGCUUUUAAGUUUUUCAUAUUCUAUUUUGACCUAAAUAAAAGCAUAUAAAUUCAUCCGAUCGAUGAACACUCAAAUCGAACUCGCUCAUUUUUUUGGAUGCGAGAACCUAUUCGAGUAGUCAAUCGCUUUAUUUUGGAUUUGCGUCAAGCUAGCCAUAAUUGAUUCAGUUCAUUUUAAUCCGCUUAAAUAUUAUUCUUAACCCGCUCAUUUAACAUACCUAUUAAUAAAUAAAUUCUAAUAUUAAAAGACUAAUUUGCCACCUUUGAAAGUGCUUUAGCUUUUAUAGCAAGGUGGAUUUUGAAGAAUAAGAAUAUAUAUAGUUAUAUGCUUCUUGUUUUUCUCUUAUUUUUUUGUUAUAUGAUCUGGAUUUUUUUAAUUUUUUUUUGUAAUGUAGAUAAGAUGCUUUUAAUAAUUUUGUAUAUUAACUAGCAUAUUUCUUGAUAUGUGCGUUUGAUCCUUUUAUUAACCAAAUACAUAUAUAUAUAUUUAUUAAGCAAAUACAUAUAUAUAUAUAUAUAUAUAUAUAUAUAUAUUUCAUUAACAUAUGACGGUGACACUCGAAUUUUGAAAUAUAAAUUAUUCUUUGGGACAUUAUUAAUAACUCUUGCCACGUGGAUGGGCUGCUCCACCCUUGACAAGAGGUCGAGGGUUCGAUUCUGGGUAUGGAGAAAAUUAUUGGAUUGUUGUCACCUUAAUGGGCCCUACAACGCGCAAUCCGAAUUAGUCGGGACUCCAAUGUAGACACCGAAUACUGGAUGGGAAACCAAAAAAAAAACUGUCACCUUAAUGGGCCCUACAACACGCGAUCUGGUUUAGUCGGGGCUCCAAUACGGAUACCAAACACCGGGAGCGCUGUCACUUUAAUGGACCCUGCAACUCGCGAUCCGGAUUGGUCGAGGCUCCAAUAAGGAUAUCGAACACCGGAUNNNNNNNNNNNNNNNNNNNNNNNNNNNNNNNNNNNNNNNNNNNNNNNNNNNNNNNNNNNNNNNNNNNNNNNNNNNNNNNNNNNNNNNNNNNNNNNNNNNNNNNNNNNNNNNNNNNNNNCGGGGCUCCAAUACGAAUACCGAAUACCGGAUAUGGGAAACAAAAAAAUGUAGAAAAUAGGUAAGUGGUCAUUUUGACAUAGAAAUGGUAUCAAGAUAUUUCAUUCUUGACCAAAUUUCUCAAAUUGCAUUUGAAGUCUAAUGUGAAAAUAAACACUUGGGGUCAAACAUGCUAUUAAUUAAAACCUUAUUUAAAUUUAUUACCUUUUAAAAAUAAUGAUUUCCAACCUAUUAAAAACUUCGAAAUCUAAUAGAUUUAUUCUAGUAAAAGAUUUUAAAGAAAAUCUAAAUGGUUCUCACAUUGUUCCAAAAUAGUUGUCAAAUUUUGUUUAUCGAAAGUCAAUUUGACUAGCUUUCAUAGUUAAAUUUGAUUAGAUUAAUUUAAUAUUUUGAGACUUAGGUGUGUUUGGUACGAUGGAAAAUGUUUUCCUGGAAAAAGUUUUUCUGGAAAAUAAGUUGAUUUUUUAUUUAUUUUCUCAUGUUUGGUUGGCGAGUGAAAAAUAUUUUUCGAAAAAUAUUUUAUGUUGUUUGAUUGGUGAGUAGAAAAUAUUUUUUUGGUUGGCGAGUGAAAAAUAUUUUUCGAAAAAUAUUUUAUGUUGUUUGAUUGGUGAGUAGUAAAUAUACACUACUGUUUGAUUGUCGAGUGAAAAAAUAUUUUUUAGAAAAUAAUACUAACUGUUAACUAGUAUAUCAGUAUCUCUAGCAACUCAACAAUUUGUAAGAACUAAUUUAAAUAUGACAAAUAAUAUCAAUAUCGAAUACUAAAAUAUUACAAUCACUAAAUUUAAUCAACUACUAAUUAACAAAUAUUGGAGACAUUUUUCAACAUUUUGUUAGGACAAUCUCAAGAUACUACAAUCAAUAGAAAAACAACAGAACGACAAGCUUUUCAACCUUGUGAAACAAGCUACAUCGAUGGCAAAAUGAAAUAUGCAAUUAGCAAAAGUAACAUAGGUAAGUCUUCCUAUAUGUAUAUGGAAAUAACAAUACAUUCAACGAACAUUGGAAAAAAAAAAAUUCAAGCUUCACUAUUUUUUAUUUCAAGCAGUGAAAAAUUGAAGCAAAGUACAGUGAAAAAUAUUUUCGAGUAAUAUGAUUUUUUUGAGAAAUGUGAAUAUGAGUGUUAUUGGGGUAGGGAAGAGGGGUGGGGGUGAGGCAUAAGUUACAUUUGUCAUUUUCCGAAAAAAUGACUUCCCUUGGUCCAUGAGGGAAGUCAUUUUCCCUCAAAUGGAGGAAAAUGAGUUUUUAUGGAAAAUAUUUUCCCAACAUUUAAUUACAACCAAACAAGAGAAUUCCAGAAAAUAUUUUCCAGAAAACAUUUUCCAUCAUACCAAACACACCUUAGAUUAACGUUUUGACUAGUUGGUAAAGUUAUUGUCAUUGAUUAGAAUAUCACGGGUUCAAACAUUGUAAGCAGCCUCUGGCAUAAUUGCGAGGUAAGACUGCGUACAAUACAUCCUUAUGGUGGAGUCCUUUUUCGAACUCUAUGCAUAGUGGGAGCUUUAGGACAUCUCGUACUUGACUGUCCUUUCUCCGCGCAUGACGAAAUUUUUAGGGAUCGUUUGAUUGAAAAUAAGUUAUUUUUUAGAUUAGUUAUUUUACCUUAAGGAGGAAUGAAAAAAAAACUAUAAUUUUGAGAUGAAUUAUCUCAUGCAUUUUGUCAUAAUCAAACAUGUAGUAAGCUCAUCUUCUAAAAUAAUUUCGAGAUUAAUUAUUUUAUUCUUCCCACCAAACGAUUUCUAGUGCAUUGGGCUGCCUUAUUAUUUUUUAAACUUAGAUUGAAGUUAAUAUUAAGGGGUCAUUUGAUGUGAGGUAUACGGAAUAAGUAGUCUUGGAAUAAAACGAGAGAUUAUUUUAUCUCAUGUUUGAUUGGUGAUAUUAGUUAAUAUCGGGAUAACUUAUUCCACUAUUUAUACCAUAGUAAUGGAAUAAAUUAUCUCAAAUAAUUCCGGGAAAACUAUUUCCCAAUCAAAUGACCCCUAAAAAAUUGUAACAAGUAAAAAUAAAUCGGAUAAAUCUCUUUAUAAUCUUUUCAUAAUACUUUCUCCAUCUCAAAUUAUUUGUACCAAAUUGAGAUGACAUAUUGAUUAAGAAAAAUAAUUAAUAACAUAAUUAUUUUACUAUAGUAUCUUUAUUAAAUGAUGUUUAUAUUUUAAGUUGAAGGAAAAGUGAUUAAUGUAAAGGGUAAAAUAUAGAUUUUUUUUUUUUUAUUAAUGAAAGAAUUAAGUAAAAUAAAAAAUUAAAUUAGAAAAUUUGGGACGAAUAAUUUGAGAAGGACGGAGUAUCUAUGAAUGAAUGCUAGUUGUUUAUUGCUUCAAGGAUUGUGUGUCCCCACGAAUUCUCCAUUUUCCUUCCAAUUUUCCCUAUAAAUUCUGCUUAAACCCUAAUGAACCAAACGCCAAUAUACACAUUAUCUUCUUUCAUUCAUCAAAAAAUUGCCUCGCUUUUCUCCUCCACAAAUUCCAAUCUUGAUAUUAAUAAUUAUUAAAAGAAACAUCGCAUUUUUUCUUUCUUUUUCUCCAAUUUGUUUCACAUUUUUUGUUUCUUGGUUCUGCCUAAUCUUUCAUCUCUCUCUCUAUAUACACACCUUUAAUGGCUUCAUUGUUCAUCACUCUUCAACCCCUUUAACCAUUUUUGUGCUAAAAAAUGAAUCUUGAUUCUUGAUUUCUCCAUUUUUGCUUGUUCUUUGUGUUGGUUUUAGCCACCCCUUUAUCAAUUUUGGCCUAAAGAUUCAAUCUUUGUGUUGUUUUUAGCAACCCCAUUAAUAUUUUUGUGCUAAAAAUUCAAUCUUUGUGUUGUUUUUAGCGGCCCCAUUAAUAAUUUUGUGAUAAAAAUUCAAUCUCUGUGUUGUUUUAAGCAACCCCAUUAAUAAUUUUGUGCUAAAAAUUCAAUCUUUGUGUUGUUUUAAGCAACCCCAUUAAUAACUUUGUGAUUAAAAAUCUAUCCCCGUGUUGUUUUUAGCAACCCCUUUAUCAAUUUUGUGCUGAAAAUUCAAUCAUUAUCUUGUUUUGGUUAUUUUUAGCAACCCCUUUGACAAUUUUGUGUUGAAGAUUCAAUCUUUAUCUUGAUUUCCUCAAUCUUUAGCAAUGGCAAUUGCAUAUCCUCACUUUUUUGGACCAAAGAAAGUUGACCCGUCAUUGGUGGUAUCUUCAACAGCAACACAAUCAUCUCCACCUCCUGUAAUUUUGUCUCAGGAUGAGCUGAAAAAAGUAGCAGCUUACAAAGCUGUGGAGUUUGUUGAGUCUGGUAUGGUUGUUGGUCUAGGUACAGGUUCCACAGCAAAACAUGCUGUAGACAAAAUAGCUGAACUUUUACAUAGUGGAAAGUUGAAGAACAUUGUAGGAAUACCAACUUCCAAGAUUACACAUGAACAAGCUGUUUCACUUGGUAUUCCUUUAUCAGAUUUGAAUGCACAUCCAAUUGUUGAUUUAGCAAUUGAUGGUGCUGAUGAAGUUGAUCCACAAAUGAAUUUGGUUAAAGGUAGAGGAGGUUCAUUGUUGAGGGAGAAAAUGGUUGAGGCAGCUACUAAAAAGUUCAUUGUUAUUGUUGAUGAGUCAAAAUUGGUGAAUCAUUUAGGUGGUAGUGGACUUGCUAUGCCUGUUGAGAUUGUUCCCUUUUGUUGGGAGUUUACACUUAAGAGGCUUGAGAUGUUGUUUAUUGAAGCUGGAUGUGUUGGAAAGUUGAGAAAAGGUGGAGAUAGUGAGGAGCCUUAUGUUACUGAUAAUGGUAAUUACAUUAUUGAUUUGUAUUUCAAGAAAGAUAUGGGUGAUUUGAAAGAUGCAAGUGAUGCUAUUUUGAGGCUUGCUGGUGUUGUUGAGCAUGGCAUGUUUAUUGAUAUGGCUACUACUGUUAUUGUUGCUGGAAAACUUGGUGUCUCUGUGACUAAUAAGGAAUAGUACUAAGGUUGGAUUUAGAUAAGUUGUUAUCCUUUAGGAACUUAGUUGAGGUAUUAGGAUGUUUUUGUGGGAGGGGGGUUGAAAUAUUUAUGUGGCAGGUGUUUUUUGCACCAACUACUAUAUUGAUUUGUUUGGGGCAUUUGCCUCAAAGUUGCUAUCUUUGAAAUGGAUUAUUGAUGGUACUUUUCUUGCUAUAUGUUGAUAUCAUUUUUUCCCUUGACAUAGAUGACAUUUUCAUUGAAUUUGUGACAUCUGACUUUAGAUUUCUAGCCUUGAAGUAACUGGUAAAGUUGCCUCCAUGUGACGUUCAAGCUUUGGAAACAACAAUGUAAGGUAAGAUUACGUACGAUACAUUCUUGUGAUGGGCCCUUCCCCGGACACCGCGCAUAGCGGUAGCUUUAGUGCACCGGACUGCCCUUUUUUGACUUUAGAGCUCUGUGGUUUGAAUGAAGCAUUAUGCCCAAUCCUAUUAUAUUUGAAUCUUAUGCAUUUGUUGCUACUAGUUCAUGUUAAUAUGGCUCCUUUUUCGUGAUAGUGUAUUGGCUCUUUCUUGUGAUGGUAUUUUCGCCGUAGCUUUUACUCUUAUAUUUGUCUAACUUGUUUCCUAUAAUGCUUCUAUAGGAAACAACAUCUUUUCUCGAGACAAGGGUCUAUAAGAAACAACCUCCAUACCUCAUACAAUGUAGGGGUAACGAGUAACGUCUGCAUACACCCCGCCUCGCACAGACACCACUUGUGAGAUCACACUAGGUACAUUAUUGUUGUUGUUGGUAUACUGAUCUCUGCAUUAUCGUGUUGAAAGAUUCUUAAAACUCUCUUUAUAUACUCGUGCUUGCGCGGUUGUUAUUGACCUUUAACCUCCAAUGAAUUUUCGUGGUGACACCUAAACAUGUUCAAGACUGUCAUUUUGCAUCCAUGAAUGCUACCAUUAUCUGUCUAACUAGCUGUUAACAUUAAGGUCUCAUUACAAACAAUUUUCUGCAAUUUUAUACUGAUAGUCUAGGGGAAGAGAUACUGAUCUAAGUUGUGCAGACUCUUCACUUCCGGUGCAACACCCGUGUUGGAUUCUCCAAAAAUAUGCUAGUUUUAGUGCAUCCGAUAAGCACCCGUUAACAUAUUUGAAAAGUCCGAGCAACAUAGAUAUUGAUAGCCUCAAUUACAUAGGAUUUUAACAGUUGAUAUUUGUCUUCUAAAAACAAUGCACAAUGAUAUGGUGCUCAUUUGUUUGUCAUUUGGAUGGUCUUGAAGUUCUGAGCUACUGGGACCUAGUGUAUAAUGUUGGACAAAUGAUAUGAUGAAUCUUAAAGUUCCAUAGCCAUUGUGUGGCAUAGGAAUUACAUCUGUUAACUGUCUUGAGCCGGGGUCUAUCGGAAACAGCCAGGGUCGGGGUAAGGUCUCGGCGCACCUCAGACCCAACUUGUGGGAUUACGCCGGGUGUUUUGUUGUUGUUGUUAGGUGAAUAGUUGGUAAUGCUGCAUAUCUUCUGAGAUGGGGAUCGUUUAUUAUGACGUGCGCUCGUUGUAGUAGUAUAUGAUUUUUCAUAACGAAAAAAGGUGUGAAAUUCGAUUUCUUUCACUGUCAAAGGCUCGAACCACAUUAUCAUAUGCGCGGGUGCUUUGAAUCUCGUAUUUGUGUACAUAAUGUGUGUCGAUGUUCAUUUAGUGGGUCGUUGAGAAUGUGUAUCGACUAUCACAUUAGGUAUCUGUGUUGGUGGAGAUAGCAAGUGCGUUAUGAAAUUAAUCGAGAUGCGACAUCAACUAGUACAUACACAAUGGUUAUUUAAAAAAGCUAUCUUCAAAUAUCAAUUGUCUCUACUAAUUUUUGUUGAUCUAGAAAUUAAAUUAUGUACUUAUAUCUAAGUUGUACUAAUCCAUAAAUGAUUUAUUCAUAUUAUAUAGAAUAAUUAAAUUAUAUUUAUGGGCAAUAGCUGGCUCUGAUGAUAUAACUUAUCUUGGAGAUAGAAAAUUUUACUAAUAACUAAUAUCUCAUACUCGUUUUUUUUUUUUUUUGUAACAUUAUGACAUAAUGUAAAUCGAUAUAGUCUAUUUAAAUAAUAUAUUUUAUAGAAAAAUAUAAUAUAAUAUAUUACGAAAGGAUACGUAACAACCAUUCAAGAAGUUGUAAUAGGUGGGUAGGUGUAUAUAAGGUUGCAAAUUAUGAUGUGCAGAUAAAUUAUUUGAGGUGUACAUAAAAAAUUUGAAAUGAAAUGUCAACCAUAUAAUAUUUUUUGUCAAAAAAAAUAUAGUAUAAUGUAGAAGACAGCACAUGAUUAGAAGAUCUUAGAUUGUUCAAUUUUUUUAUGUACCUUGGUGCAAUUUUGUUAGGUAUACAUAUGAAAUUUCACAUGGAUUUGUUGGUAGGUGGGAGAACAUCUAAGGGAAUAUGAGAAUAUAUUUGAGGGAUUUAUAUGUGUAUAUAGGUAAUACUAUAGUCUUAAAAUUUCAAAUUCUACGGGUGAAACUUCACGACAAUAUUUUUAAGUUUCACUAACUUUAAAUUCAAAAUUUUGGGAGAAGAGAUAGAAAUAUAUCUGAACUUUGGCUAAAUUUGUUGUAACACGCCUCAACUUUGCGGUGGUCGUACGAUCCACCUCGACUAUUUAUUACCGUAUUUCUGUGGCAUAUAUUUGUUCAGCUGGACCACUUCAGACCCUUACGCACUAGUGUGCGUGUAUCCACGCAAUGAUCCAGUUACACAAAUAUAUGCCAAUAGUCUAGGGGGGUCAUAGGACCUCCGCAAAAAUUGAGGCGUGUUAUGAUAAAUUUCGUCAAAAAUUAGGUAUAUUUCGAACCUUUUUCCCCAAAAUUUUCAAAUAUAGAAUUUGAAAGUGGUUAUUUGUAAAAUUUAGCCAAAUCAUGCUCUCCGUUAUUUGUUGGCUAUUAUUUAAAGCUUUCUAUGAUCUAGCUUUUUAGGAAAUAGAGUAGUUGUACAUUGAUGGUCCAAGAUCUUUUCUCUAAUAUAUUCAAGCCCAGUCAUAUUUUGGGCUUAGGUUUAUUUAUUGUUCGAUAUCAAAUUGGACCAAUCCUUUUCGCGUAUAAAUAAUAUUAGACGAUCUAAUCAAAGAAGAUGAUAGCUCUGUAGAUUCGUUCCUAAUUCCUAUCCACGUCUUAAUCAAGAUUACAUAACUUAAAGUUUGGGAUUUUCUAUCUACGAUAACAAUCUCAUUACAAACGUAAGAAUAUCAUCCUUCUAGCCCCUAGUCGUAUACAGUUUAGUUUAUGAGCUUAAUUAGUCGAAAAAGUCCUCAGAUGCCUUAUUUUCGGAACUAAAUAACAAUGUCAAUAAUCUUAAUUAACCAUUAUCCUAAGACAUUUCUUGAUUUUAGCUAACAAUUAACUUGGUUAAUUACUAUAAUUAUCAAAGACAAAAGAUUACCCCUACUAUGAAAGAUUGAUAAAUGAUUGAAAUGUAUAUAUGGGUAUACAUUAUUUGUGGACACAAAAGGAGAACUAAUAAAUGUCUAGCCCAUACUUAACUAGGCCCAUUAAGGUGUGGUCCAAAUAAAAUUUGUUAGUUUUUGAUGUUAAUAGAUUGAUUAUUUGACCAAUCUAUGCAUGCAAGAGGGAAAUUAGACACAAUCAUAAAUGUCAGCUCGGUGUACUAAAGCUCUCACUAUGCACGAGAUUCGAGGAAGGAUCCGACAGCAACAGUCUGUUGUACGAGCUUUAGCUUACAUUUCUGUCAGAGGUUAAUAAAUGGGUUAAUUCAGAAAUGACCAUUUUGUAUCCUCUGUAAUUGAAAAAUAAUCAUUAUCGUGGGGUUUUAAAUUCCAAAAUUUUACCCGCAAGACUUGAAACUCCGUGAUAAUGGUUAUUUUUCAAAAAUAUUGGCCAAAAAGUAACCGGUAAACUCAACUUUUAUAUGAUAGGUAGUGAUCAAUUAAGGCCAAUAUUUUCAUCUCUUAGUCAGAGCUAUCGAGUUCGAGUUUCGAUAAUGAACUCGUCUUCGGUAUAGAGGUCUAAAAUCCCGUUGUAGGUCUACCACACGAGUUCAAAUAUUGAAUAAUAUCGAAUGAUACUAGAUUAUGAAUAACAGAUACCAAAUGAUUAAACAAGCACAAUUAUCAAAAAUUAGUGCCUAAUAAGCCCAUUAUUAGUAUAAGAAGUUUCUCUUUUUCAUUUAUUGGCUUGCUACUCCUUUGGUUAUGCCUAAUUUUCCUUUUUUUAAAAUAUUUAUAAAAAGCUAUAUAAAACCACUAAUACCUUUCUAAUUAUUUAUGCAUUAAGAUCCAAUCAAAUAAAUUUAACUAUGUGAAAAGUAAAAUAGGGUAAUAAAAAAGCAACAUUUGUUUUAUGCUACUUCACUAUUAAGUAUCUGACAAAUCAUGGGUUAUGUGCAGUGAAUGAGGCUGCUCCACCCUUAACCAGAGGUCGAAAGUUUGAUCCUGGAUAUAGAGAAAACUCUGUUGGGAGCACUGUCACCUUAAUGAGCCCUGCAAUGCGCAAUCCGGAUUAGUCGUGACUCCAAUACGGACACCGAACAUCGAAUGGGAAACCAAAAAAAAAAAGUACGUGACAAAGUAAUGGAUGGUAAAAGCAAUUUUUGCUUUUUUGCUUUUUUUUUUUUUUUUCUAUAUCAAUAAUGUAUGGUAAAGAAGUUAUAGGAGCCAAAUUUGUCAAAAGUUAAAAGUUGUGAUAUGAUUAAAGUUAAUUUCCACUAAAGUUUGAUACCCAAUUAAUUAAGUAACAAAUUACUUUUCCAAAUAUCAAGUGGAUAUUAACACUCUCAUUGACUAUUUAUUUGUCUAUAGUUAGGCACAAGUCCUAAUUUCACAAAUAGUCUUACUUAAGCCCAUGAAGUUUCACACGUAAAGUUUGAAACUCUAUUUUUUGGGAAAAGAAUCAGAAAUAUACUUAAAUUUUUGUGAAAUUUGCUAUAUGAUGUCUCAAUUUUGUGGGUAUCCGAUGACCCCCUCGAUUAUUUAUUAUCGCAUUUCUGUGGCAUAUAGUUAUUCAGCUGGAUCACUUCAGACCUUAUGCGCCAGUACACGUGUAUUCAUGCAGUGGUUCAAGUGGACAAAUAUAUGCUACAGAAAUACGGAAAUAAAUAAUCGAGAGGUUCAUAAGACCCUCGCAAAAUUGAGACGUGUUACAGCAAAUUUCGCCAAAGUUUAGGUAUAUUUCGAACCUUUUUCCCUUUUAAAAAAAAAUAUAUAAGACGGAAAACGACCAACAAACACUAUUUCUACUUAGAAUUCGUGUGGCAUAUAUAAAACCCAAUAAUAGGGAAAGCAAAUUCUACCAAAAAAAAAAUAAUUACAUUUUCAAAUUUCAACUCGAGACGUCUAAUUAAAAAAAUUAUCUGACUACUGUCCUAGGUGGUAACACGUCGUAACUUUAAAAUUACUAAAACACAUUUUUACUUAAAUUCAAAGUUUCUAAAAAUAUUUUUUUCAAAAUAGAGUUUCAACUAAACAUAUGAAGGGUGUAAUAUAAUGAUCCCAUAUGGAAAUUGAAACAAAUCUAUAUAUACCAAAUCUAUGUUUAUGUUGUUGUGAUUUCUUUGGAUUUAUUAUUUAUACCUUAGUUUAAUUACAUGGAAUUGGAGUUGUUUUCUCAUGUCCUAAUCAAUGACCAAUGUUUGGUAAUCUGCAAUCAAUAAAUAAUUAUUUUUUAUAUAAUAUACACUAUCUUUCAGGAGGGAUGGCCUUGGCUCAGCGGUAAGGGUCGGGGGUUCGAAACGCCCCUCCAGCGAAGCUGGGGUGAGGGCGUGUAGGUCAGGCCCGGAGUGGUCCCCCCUCCCCGACACCUACGGAGUAGGUAUGAACCGGGUCGUCCCCUUUAUACACUAUCUUUCAGAACGAAAAGAAUUCUGAUGAACCCCUUCCUUUCUGUUAUCUCCGUCUCGCGUGCCUCAAUUCUUUCAUCGGAUAUCUAGACAAAUAAAUAUAAAUCAUCUAUGUUCGAUCGCAUGGAUCAAGUUGUGUAUCUUCAUUCAAUCAUCGAAUACUUGUUGCCUCUCCUCAAAAUUAAAUCGAUGUGUGAAUAUAAUAGUGUAUAUAUCUAUCUAUAUUCAAUUAUACAUUUCAUUAUCAAGAAAAACUUAAAGCAAUAAAUUAAUUAAAGUUGAGGGUCCAAAUUGACUACUUCCUUUUCCUUUUUCGGGACACGUUUAUUCUUUUUUUACACUUCAAUUUCGCAAUCAAUAGUUUAUAAAUGUUUAUUUUACGACAUUCGAUUAAUAUAUUUUUUAUGUUUAUUUUUUAGAGUCAAAUUAUAUGAAUAUUGAUUAAUAUUUUAAGGUAUUUUUUAAUCAUAUUAAUAUGAGAAGGUUUGCAGCUCAUAUCUUUUUUCAUAUAGUUAACAGGAAUAAUUUUCAAACAUUUUUUUUUUCUUUUGUAAAAUGUAAAAUAUGUUGAAAGUCUUAUUCAUUUGGGACAACAUGCACACAAAAGCAUGCAAAAGGCAACUUAAAAGCUAAGAUCAAGUGACUCAAUUUGUGUAUAUAUAUUAUAAUAAUUCUUCUUUAUAUAUAUAUAUAUAUCCAUUUCGUGAAUAAUACAUAAAGUCUAAAGUAAGCCUUUUGUAAAGUGUUUAUCACAACUUGGCAAAGAUGGUAAACGUCUCUAUCCAUAGUCUAUUUUUUAUGAGCGUAAAAUCACGUACAUUUGAUUUAAAACGGACAAUAUUAUACCAUAUUAGGUAUAUAUUUAGAGUGUCAUUGUCACUACCCGAGUCGAGGCUUUGGCCGCGACGGGCGUCUCGAGAGACCCCUUACUCCUUAUCUCUAGUGAUAUUGUUCGCUUUGGGUCCAGGCCGGCAUGACUUUAAAACGCAUCACUAGAAAAUAAGGUUUGCUUAUUUAUAUAUUCAACAUCCCUCCUGUGUUUUGUCGAUGUGGGACUCCUUAAUCCUAAGUUGGGGUGUUACAUACCCCCCUCCUUAUGGACUCAGCGUCCUCGCUGAGGUUUGCCCCACCGAAUGGGAUUUGACUAGACUCAGGACUAAGGUUUGCCCCGCCUUAUCGAGAUUUGCCUAAACUCAGUUUGAACUCUGGACCACAUCGACAGGGCUGGCACAGGAGCGGCUCUGAUACAAUUCUGUCACGACCCGAGCCGGUUGCGGAUGCCCGUCGCGGCCAGAGCCUCGGCUCGGGUCGUAACAGAAUGUAUGCAACACCCCAAUUUAGGAUUAAGGAGUCUCACAUCGGCAAAACACAGGAGGUAUAUUGUGUAUAUAAGUAACCAAGCCUUACUCCCUAAUAACGCGUUUUAAAAUUGUGCGAGCCUGAACCCAGAGCGGACAAUAUCCCUAGGGAUAAAGAGUAAGGGGUCUCUCGGGCCUUCGUGGUUCGGGAUGCCGUCGCAGACAGAACCUCGACUCGGGUCGUAACAAGUAUGAAGAUGACGAAAUAAUGGGCACAUACAAACACAAUAGUAAACAUGAAGUUGAUGACCAUAUAAACACUUUGAAUAAUGAUGUACGUAUAGUGACACACAAUUAAUCACUUUUUGACAAGCUAAUACACUUUUCUCAAAUAAUUAACUAUUGUUCUGAUUAAUUAGGUUUAUAAACAAAGAAAAAUUGUACAAAAAAAAAAGAAAAGAAAGUUUGAUAUUUAGUAAAAAACACCUUUUGAUAUUGACUUGUGGAUGCAUGGACUGCAUAUACAACAGUAUAGUAAAACAAAAAUAACUCAAAUAAACGAAAAAACAAUAAUUCGUAAGUUUAUAAUUUAUAAUAAUCUACAAACAUAAACAAAACAAGAUCCAAGCAAAACAUAUAAUUCAACUCAUCAACUUGUUAUUUGAUUAAAUUUAUAAAUUCAUAAUAAAUUAUGUGAUAAUCACUAAUUUAUAAAAUAAUAAACAAAUCAAGAUCCAAACAAAACAUGUAAUUUGACCCAUCAACUUGCUAUUUGAUUAAGAUUUAAAAUCAAUAAAUUAAAAGCCAACAAAUCCUCCCACAUAAAAAGAAUAUCUAUUAUAUUAAUUAAGAAGAUAAUACUAAUUAUUCUUUGCUACUUUUGCCACAAGUACUAAAAGAAGAAAAAUAAAAUAUAGUUUCACACUGUUCCUCCAUUUUAGUAGACAAAAUAAAAAAUUCUCAUUUUUUUGUAGGCUGUAAUGAAGAAUAACAGGAUAUGGACUGAAAUAUAUAAAAGAAAUGACAAAAUAAUCAAAUAUUAGUAAUAUAUUAGAAGCUUUGAUUCUAAAAUCAAUAAAAUUAUGUGUGUGUGAUGGCCAUGAAUUUAUAUAAAUUUUUUUAAAUGUAAGUUAACUAAAAAAAAUAGUGUUUAUGACGUCUAGCAAAAGUGAUAAAAUAUAUUAGAGAUGUUGAUUAUAUAAAAAUUCAAACUUAAUUUAAACCCCAAUGAUGCAAUUUAAAUUACGUGGGUAAAUUUAAAACAAACAAUAUAACAUGUAGUUUGGUAUAUAGUAUCAAAUUUAUAUAUGUUACCUGUAACACCAAACAAUUGACCUUGUAGUAAAAAAAAAAAUUAAUAACAUAUCUAUGUCGUUAGAGAGAUCGAAAUUUUUAUCUUGAUAUUUGAAAGAUGUUUUGUUUAGAUGUUCGUGUUGAUUAUAUAUAGAGACAGAAAGUUAGUCAUAACUUCAUUUUUUAACAAAAAUGAAUUACGACAUAUGAUUACUCCUACAAAUCGAAUAGAGUUCAGAAUCAGAAAACCUACUUCUCAAACUGUUCGAUACUUGAAUAUUCUUGCGACGAACAAAAAGUACUUUUCUAUUCACUUGCCUCCGCACCUUUGCUCAUGCGGAACUGACUAUACACAGGGACUGUGUUAGCUAAUAGUGAGGGUGUUCACCCGAACUUCCUUCGAUGAAAAAUGAUACUAUUUAUACAGGUUUAAAAUUAUUUUUCAUGUAUAUAUUAGACGUUGAAUUUUCUUUAAUUAAUUUUUUUAUUCAUAUUUUUUUAUUUUAAACUCCCUUAAUUAAGAUAUUGGCUCCACUACUGACAAUGCGAUAUAAUGUUUUCAUUCUUGUUCAUCAAUGACGAAACAUUAUUUAUUUCUUCUAACAAUUAAGUGUUGUUGUAUUAAGAAGUGAUUAACAUCUGUUAAUUUAAAUUUUAAUUAAAUUACUAUAUAUAGUACGUAACACUUGACAUUCAUGGAAGCAUGACAAAAUUUGUCAAUAUUUUCGUCUCAAAAUAUUGACUACAAGUAGAGCUAAGUUAUUAUUAUAACAUCAGAAUAAAUUCCAAAACUAUAUAAAGUCAAAAUUUCAACAGACAAAAUUAUUAUUUUUUUCUUUCAUAUUUGGAUAACAUUGAGUAGUAUCUAAUAUAUGGACAAAUUGAUGUCAUAAGAUUUUAUGAUAAUAAUAUUAUAAUAGGAUUUUUCAUUGUGUGGUGUGUGAUCGUAUUAAAAGAUUGAAGAAAAUUAUCUCAAAGGAUUUAGGAGUGUUUUGGUUGUUACUUAUAAAAUUCUAACACAUAUUGAUAUGAAAUAACAAUAAUAAUAUAUUUAAUAUAUUUUUAUAAAUUGAGUUUGAGAAUAAUAGUGUUUAUACAAGUUAUCUUUAUCUCGUUGAGGAAGAGAGACUGUGACACCUCUAGCUUAGAAUGAGAGGUCUCACUUCGGUGAAAGCACAAAAAAAAUGCUAACUAUAUGAAUAACGCCUAAUACAAGCACCAUCAAAUUUAAUCACAUCAAAAAGCAUAAAAAUAUUCAACUACCUACUAACUAACUAACACAUAGUAAUAAUGAAGUCGUAUAUAACUAACCGGCUCAGCCUUACAUUAGUAAUAUCCGCAUAAAUUUAAUCUACGAUCAAACAACCUCCUAAGAGCAUAAAAGUGUAAUUAUUUAAACCUAUUUUAUAUUGUCGUUUGAUUGAAAACAACUAAUUCCGACAUUAGCUAUCCCACCCUCACGAUGAGAUAAUACACUAAAUUUCGAAAUAAUUAAUCUUGAAAUGGGCUUUCAUAUGCAUUAUUCAAAUCAAACAUAAGAUAAAUUCAUCCUAAAGUUAAUUCCAGAUCAGUUAACUCUUAUUCCUCGUACUAAAUGACACCUAAGCUCUAAGUUAAUUGGAUGAAAUAAAAACAACACUAUAAUCUCAAAAAUAAAUUAUCAUAUAUAUAUAUAUAUAUAUUUAUCUUAAUUAAAAAAUAAAUUCAUUCUAAAAUUAAUUUUAAAAUUAAUUAAUCCUAUACCUUGUACUAAACAAGCCGUAAGCGCUAAGUUGGUUGGAGGAAAUUAGGUAGUGUGAGAGUGUGUGUUUCAUUAUAAGUGGAGAUCUCCUGUUAAUACGCGGCGCUCCUGCUUUUAUGUCCACCGUUUUGGGCUGGGCCCCACCAUUUACUUGGGCCCACACUUCAAGAAAGCAGCCAUGUCACUCACAUGGGCCCACAAGAGGUGUUCCUCUGGAAUUUCUAACUAAAAAUUACUUGUAUCCACGAAACAACUUUACAUUAUUACAUAAAAUCUCAUAUUGGAAAUCAAAUUACAAAAAAUUCAAAUUAAUUACUUAAGUCAUUACUUUUUUUACUUACGCUCUCUUUCUUGUUAUACAUUCUAAAUAGCUUCAUAUUUUUCUCCUAAAAUCUUGCUACCUUAUCUCUCCAAUUAUCUAUCUACAUUAAACCUCCUUGUUAUCUUUCCACACCCACAAAUUAAGAUCUUUAAUAAUCUCUCUCCAAAAAAAAUUCUUCUCCAUUUUCUCCGUCUAAAAUCAACAAAUCUUCUCCAUCCAAAAUUAUAUUUUUUCAUCCAAAAUCGAUAAAAUCUUUUCAAUUUUCAUCAAAAAACCAAAAAGAAAUUACAAUUUCAUCCAAUAUAUGCUUCUCUGAAAUUACUUGUAAAAAAAUUACAGAAAUUAUUUAUACUAUGCACAUUUAUAAUGUAUGAUGCUAUAUCAUACAUUGAUACGAAUGUAUAAUCGAAUAUUAUACAUUCGUAAGUCUAUUGGAAUGACACAGCUUUGUUACACAUUGCUUUGAAUGUAUAACAAAUUAUUAUACAUUCAAAAAAUUAUUGAAAAAACACACUUUUAUUAUACAUUGAUUUGACUGUAUAAAAACAUAUUAUACAUUCGUAAGUUUACUGAAAUGAUACUGUAUAUAAUGUUUUUUAGAAAAAAUAAAUGAAAUCAGUUAAAUUUCAUUAUUAUAUUUCUAACCUCAUGCAUGUUAAUAACAUAUAAUGCUAUAUCGUAUAUUUAUUACACAUUAACAAAAUUAUUCGAAGAACGGAUGUAGAAGAAGUGGUUAUUUUUUGGCUUUCCAGAUGGUGAAUCACAAAAAUAAAAAAAUUAUAUAUAACAAAAUAUUUAAAAUUCAAAUAUCAGUUACAUGUUGUCUAUGUUCUAUCAAGAACGAAUUAAUGUUGGCUAAUUAAUGCCUUUAAUUAAGAAAUUAUAAAAUAAUUAAAGAUUCUCUUACCUUAAAUAUAGAAUUAGCUGGUACAUCAUACAUUCGACCAAUGUAUAAUAUUUGCGCGAAUAUACGAGUAUAUUUGCAAAAAAUAGGAGAGAGAAAACAAGAAGAGAUUUUGUAUAAUUAUUUUCAUUAUCUAGGAAAUUUAUGUUGUUUACACAAUUUCUAAACUUGCCCAUUCAUUAAGGUGUUGUUUGGUUGCGAAAAUAUGUAAUUUUGAAUAAUUAAUUUUGUGACUUAUUAUUUCAUUUUGUAUAAAUAAGAUAUAAUAUAUUCUAUCACUAUAUAGUGAAAUACAAAUAAUAUUGAGAGUAACUUAUCUUUAAUCGAAUCCUAUGUCUUAUACUUCAUAUCAAGUGAUUCCUAAAGGAAUAAACACAAUAUGAUAAUAUCAAUAGUGACGAGAACAACAACACACUCAUAUUUCCACAAAAUGAGAUCUAAGAAAAAUAACGUGUAUGCAGUUCAUAUCACUUUCUUAUAUCAAAAUUCCAUAGUAUAAGUGAAACAAAGUAGGUGGUGAUAUUUUCAUGCAUAUUUUAUGCAUUGCCAAAUGAAAUUAUAUAUUUACAAUAUGCAUGAUGCAUUCAUUGAUUUUCUGCUUAUGUUGUUGAUUAAUAUGUGAAUAGGAAAACAAAAUGAUCUAGUUCUAAUCUUUUUUUUUUUUUUUUUAAAUAGCUUGAAUAUUAAUUUGUGGGAAUUUAUUUGCAUGUUGUUGUUGCUUAAACAUUAACUAUUCAAUUAAAAUGAAAUAUCUUCAAUUGAGACGUGUUUCGAUUUAAUUUGUGAUUUACCUUAUCAUUUUAAGAUUAAACUAUGAACGUCUACGAUGCUACAAUAAGAACAUACACAGUAAAAUUUUAUAAGUAAAGUUUGGAGAGGAUAAAGUGUAUGCAGAUCUUACCAUUACUUCGGAGAAGUAGAGAGAAGCUGCUUUCGAAAGGCCCUUUGCUCAGAAUCCUUUGCUCAGAAUAGCAAAUCCAGAAAAGGAACAUAUGAAGAUAGCAUGACAACACGGGACAAUGCAAAAUUUACCAUAAAAAUAAUAAUCAGCCGCAAAAUAGUAUAAUAAUCAAAACAGAAUAAACGACAAUAAUGAUAGAGAUAUGCACGGCUUAACCCUACGCUACAAUACUAGAGUUAGUGCACAACAACACCCUACUCGAUACCAGCAUGGGUUGUGGUGCAGCGGCUGAAGCUGCUUCACCCUUAAUCAGAGGUCGAGGGUUCGACCUUGGACAUGGAGAAAACUCUGUUGGGAGCGCUACCUCCCGAAUCGGGUCCUACCCGGCGCAAAUCUGAAUUAGUCGAGCUCCAAUACGGGUACAUAACAUCGGAUGAAAAAUAAAAAAAAAAUUACCCUGCCCGAUUAAAUUUCUACUCUAAUAUGCGUCCUUCAUAUUUACUAUAUAUGUUUUUUUUUAACUUUAUUUAUAUCAAGGGAUUAAUUCAAAUUAAAUUAUAUGAACCUAAUAAUUUGUAUAGGGGACCUUAAUUUACUAGAAUGAUACAGUAAAUAUUUUUAUUUGAUAUUUUCUCAUAAUGAAUCUUUCAAUUAAUAAAAUCAUCACAAUACGAUUCCAUCAAAACAGUAUCAAAACAAAAAAACUUUAUAAGUUGUUAAUGGAACUAACUUUAACCAACAUUAAUAUUAUAGAAUGUACCUAACAUACACUUGAUUAUUUUCUUGAAAAGGGCAUUUCUUAGAAGGAAAAAAAAAGGCCAAUUAGUAAAAUAUAACCUCUUUUAAGAACCAUUUAACAAACAAUAAUUAAUUCAUUAAACCAUAAUAAAGGAUCUAAUUACAAGUCUUUUUUCUGUUUAUUUCAGAUUGAUUCUACUAAUAUAAUAUAUUUGCCCAUAUCACAUGGUCAUCCCAAUAAUAAUGCUCUUGUUAAGAUCUCACUUAAUAAUAUUUAAUGCAAAUAAAAAAAAUAAAGAAAAUAAAUAUGAAUUAACUUUUCAAAUAAUUUCGCUAACUACAAAGUUUCACAAUUUUUUGUUUUGAUCUUUUGAUUAGUGAUUUCCUAUAAGUAUUCUUUAAAAACAUAAGUUCGAUCAUGCAGAUACAAGAUUCAUAUCAUCUGAAAUUAAAGAAGUUCUUGUAUAUUGUUUUUUUUUUUUUAUCUUGCAUAUAGAAUUAAAAUCGAGUCAUUUAUGAUCGCCAUUUGAUCAUCAUUAGACAAUGAAAAAACACAUUUUAUGACGAAAUGAGAACACUAGAAAAUAUAAUUUCACAUAAUUAUUUUCAUCGAGAUUUAGAUAUUACCAUCAACCUUUAAUACUAAGAUCUCAUAAAAAGAAAAGUAUCUUAUUCUAUAAUAUCAUUAUCAAUCUUCAAUAAAUACUUUUUUCAAAAGACAAUCUUCAAGAAAAUAUUUCCCAUAUUUUUCAUAAUUAGGUUUAUUCUGCUCAAAAGGUAAUAUUAUCCGAACGUGAUUUAUAAUUUUUUUUCACCUCUAAAAGCUUUUAUAGUUCUUUUUUUUUUUUUCCAAUAAUUCAAACUGACACCUUCGAAAUUAGAAGAGAAAGGUAUUUAUCAUCAACUCGACUCAAAUAAUUCUUUAUCAACAAUAAUUUUUUCAACUUAAAAAAGGGAUUAUACAAAUUGGGUACACAUUAAUCAUUACUACUUAACCAAAUAAUAAAAGUAGCCAAAAAAAAAUAAAUUCCCAAUUUUUUUUUUUUUUUUCUUUUUGUGAUCUUUAGAUUUAGCUUCUAUACUGUUCUCCAUAUCUUUUUUUCUGCUUUAUUCAGUCAUUCAUUCAUUUUCACACACAUACACACAGUCACACUCCGUCACCUCACCAUGUGAACUUUUUUAUUUUUUUUUUUAAAUUUAUUUUUUCCAGUUUUUAUAAAUAAGUACCCAAAGUUGAGAUCUUUGUAUCUUAGUGACUUCUCUUUCUCUCUAAGAUUCUCUAAAUACAACAAAAAAUCAUAAUUGAGUUUCUUGUUUUUCACUAUAAGCACAUGAUACUAAUGUUGUUGUUCCAUUUUAAGUGAGUUUUUUUUAAUACCGAUAGUGUUCGGAUCAACUUUCGCGUACUUGAGACAUUCUUUUAUGAUAAUCAAAUUGUUCGAGCCAACUUUUAUACACCUAAAAUAAAUAAAAUCUACGGGAUACCUCCUUCAUGUGAAGUGAGAUUUGGAGAGAUUCUUUUGAGUUUUGUAUAGACAAAUGAAGCAAAAAAUUGAAGUGGGGUGUGUUGUUUUUCACUGAAAAGCACAUGAUAUACACUGUGGUGGUGGUGUUUUUUCAGUGAGAUAUUGGAGGAGUGGCUACAGAUAAAGAUGAUGAAGGGUUAUUCAUUCUUUACUGCUAGUGCUACUGCUCUCAUUCUUGCUGUUUCCAUUUGUUGCAGCUCAAUUCUUGCUGCUGAUUCUUUAUCAAAAGACAAUUUUAAGUCCAUUUUAGGUGAGUUGAAUUUGAUCAUUGUUGGAGUUUGUUGGCUGUUUGUUUUAUGAAAAGGGUGGUUUUUUUGAUAUGGGGUUUUUAUGUGAUGGCUGUUUUUGGUUCCUUUUAGAGUUCUAUGUGCUAAAAAGAUGAAAAAAAUGUGUUCUUGUAAUGAAAAAUUUGAUCAUUUUUGAAGUUUCUGUGGUUGUUUGUUUUAUGAAAAAGGUGAAAUUUUUGGAUGUGGGGUUUUUAUGUGAUGGUUGUUUUUGGUUCCUUUUAGAGUUAUAUAUGCUAAAAAGAUGAAAAAAUGUGUUCUUGUAAUGAAAAUUUUGGUCAUUUUGAAGUUUAUUAUGUGUUUGCAUUAUGAUAAAAAGGGUGAUUUUUUGAUGUGUGGUGCUGGUGUUUGGUUCCUUUUAGAGCUAUGUAUGCUAAAAAGAUGAAAAAAACAGGUUCUUGUAAUGAAAAUUUUGUUGUAAUCCAAAUUCCUCAAUUUUUAGGUAAGUUUUGUUGUAUCCCAGAGACUCUUUUAAGUCCAUUUAGGUGAGCCAUUUGAUAAUUUGAAGUUCAUUUGGCUGUCUGUUUCAUGAAUAAAAGGUGAAUUCUUGCUUUGGGUUUUUUUCAUUUUUAAGGGAGUGUGACACUAGUGAUGAUGCUAUAUAUGCUAAAAAGAAAAAAAAAUAUAAAUAUGUUCUUGUAAUGAAUUCUUUGAUCAUUUUGAAGUUAUUUGGCUGUCUGUAUUAUGUAAAAGGUGAAUUCUUGAUAUGGGGUUUUUCUAUUUGAAGGGACUUUGACAGUAGUGAUGAUUCUAUAUAUAUAAAAAGAAAACGAAACUGGGUUUUUGUGAUGAAAUUUUUGAUCAUUUUGAAGUUCCUUGGCUGUAUGUAUUAUUAAAAAAGGUGAAUUUUUAUAUGGGUUUUUUCUGUGUUGGUGGUUUUUGGUUCCUUUUAGAGCUAUGUAGUAUGUGCUAAAAGGAAAAAAAAGGGUUCUUGGAAUGAAAAUUUUGUUGUAUCCCAAGUUCCUCCAUUUUAGGAAUUUGAGAUCUGUUUUUAUAUGUUGUUAUUGCAAUCCAGAUGUCAUUGUCGAAUUAUUUUAGAACAAUUUGUUUUGGAGUACAUGAUUUGAUCUAUCUUGGUUGUUAUGGUAUUAAUACUUUAGUGGUCAUUCUUUAACAACUAUGCUUAAUGCUUUCUUAAUUUGUCAGGGUAAUUAUGUUUUUUUACUGUGUGAUUUCUGCUUCAAAGUUGCUUUACUUGUUCUUUUGGCAAGAAUGAUUACUUGUACAUCUGAAUUGAAUAUACAAGCCAGUUUGGUGAUCUAUAAGGAGUUUAAUUGAAUAUGCAGCGGUAAAAAAACACACCUAAAGUAUCCCGGUUUCUCGAGUUUCAUACCUGAACUAUUAGGUGUAAGGUGUGCGAGUUUCCUACGUGAAUUAUCACCAGUAUUUAUCAAAAUACACCUCAACUAUCAAUUGUUCAGGUAGGAAACUCGUACAACUCGCACACCUGAUAGUUCAGGUAUGAAACUUGAAAAAUCGGGAUACUUUAGGUGUCUUUUUGACCAUUAACUCAACCUAUCAUCUUCUUUGCAAUGCUUUUAGAUAAUGGUUAAGUGUUAAUUUAAGGCUCAUUUAGAUGAUGUGGCCCUUCCUUUUUAUACUUCUACUUUUGUAAAAAUUACAGGAGAGGGAAACUUGGAAUCAUGGAAGGAUGGAGUAUUGCACUCAGCAGAUAUGGCAGAAGCUCCAGGUGGGCAUGCGAGCACGCUUGUGCUGGCAGGAAACAGGACGAGGAGGCCAGAUUUUCUUUCUGGUUUUCACAAAUACAGAGGUGGAUGGGAUAUUGCCAAUAAACACUACUGGGCAGUAAGCACCAUCCUCUACUUUUUUGGCCAUUUUUUUUAAUUGAUUUAUCUUGUAAAUGUAUAGCUUUGUAUUUAUUUGACAAUUUUGCUAUAGUUUAGGAUCUCUGAUGCUGUAUUGCUCGCUGCUUUUUUGUAAUUUUAUAGUUUAUACAGUUCAUCAAGUUUCCUGUCUGAGCUGCAUUCUGUUUGUUUUGGAUCAUAAUCACUUGCAACAUAUCUUGCUUCACUACCACGUUGACCACGCCAUGUUUGUAAGCCCAAGUUUAUAACUAGUUUAUGAUCUACUGACCUUUAUGACUUAGUCAUUGAUUUUGACCUGGAAAGUUCUGAGAUAGAAACUGCAUAAGAUCUGAUUAGUUCACUUGAAAAGUUUUUGGUGCUGAGUGGUGAAAAUUGCUGGUGAAAGAUAUGCCUAGUACUACUUUUCUCAAAUUUAUGUGUUGUCUUCUGUUAUGCUAGCUAAUUUUCUUCUCAGGAGGAGAAGGAAAUGUGGUUGGGAAAGAGGAGGGGGAGGGUAAAAAACAAAAAGAGGAUCGUGAAAGUGAUAUCGGUUACUUAAAAAGUUAUAUAGAGUUUAAACAUCUAAGUUAUAAGUGUAUUUAACAAAGGAUGAAUUUGCAUAUGUUAUGGUGCAAAAUCUGCAUAAUUGCAUAGCUUUGUGUAAGAACUUGUUCCGCUUCUAGUGAUAUACUUUGGAUAUGGUGUUUCCUAUUCUAUUUAUGAUGUGUCGAAAUAGAGCGGACUAGAUAUUCCGGAUUGAUAUUGCUCAAGUCAACUAGUUUGAGAUUGAGAUGUAGUUAAUUGGUUUGUCUAAGAACUUGUUCCGCUUCUAGUGAUAUACUUUGGAUAUGGUGUUUCCUAUUCUAUUUAUGAUGUGUCAAAAUAGAGCGGACUAGAUAUUCCGGAUUGAUAUUGCUCACGUCAACUAGUUUGAGAUUGAGAUGUAGUUAAUUGGUUCAUUGAUUAAUAAGUGGUUCCUCUUCUAGUGUUAGGUGGCAUCGUGAGACUACAUGAGUUUAUAUAAAGACUGGUGAGGUUAUGAACUUCAACCUCAGUUCUAGAUCAGCUAAUUUUUGAGCAAAUAUUGUGAAUUUAUAGUUGAUGUUUUGCAUAUUGCCUUGAAACCAUUUUUUGGUUUAGACGACUCUGUACACGUAGUAAAAAUCUUGGGAUGAACUUGCUUCAACUGUUUAGUUGUGAUUUUUAUUUAGAAGGCAGUGAUCUUAUAUGGAUUUUGACCUUGGUUCCAAAGUCUGUUGGUUUUACAGGUGUUGCUGGUGUCAUACUCGCUUUGCUUUGGUUCAUUUCUUUUGGAUUGGCUCUCGUAGUUCAUUAUUGCUGGGGAUGGAAAAUCAAUAUUAUAGGCGGAGAACGACGUUUUUCAGAGAGAGUUUGCCUGAUCGUGCUUAUUAUCUUGACAUGUGCUGCAGCGUAAAAAUCUAAACACUCGACUUGCUGUAUGCAUUUAUAUAUUUUCUUAUUUGAAUUAUCAUGAGCCCAUCCUUAAUAUUUUGGUAUUUUGAUUAGAUGGAUGGAGUACAUCCAAUUUCUUGACUCGUUAAUUCUCUUUUGUACAAACUAAUCUUUUCUGAUCUUGCUAUCUUAUCAACUUUAUAUCUUAGGACUUUAUCUUACACUAUUUUUGGUUCAUAAACAUAGGACGUAUCCCACUGCUAGAUUAUCAAUGUGUGGCUCUAGCACUUGACUCACACAGGACUUGUAACUAUUUGAAAGUUUUAGGUUUUUUAAUCAGUAGGAUAUUACUCUUGUACUAUCUUAUUUCUUCGAUUCUAGUAUUACAUGUUGUUUCCUUGCUUCGGUUUUUUUAAUUAUUCGUUGUUGCUACUGUUCGCGUUUCCGUGUUUUCAGAAUGUCUUUUUCCACUACUGUAUUUUUGUUAUACACUUGCUUUUCGAGAUUCUUUACUUGAGGCGAGGUUCCAUCGGAAACAGCCUCUCUACCUUAGCAAGGUAGGGGUAAGGCUGCGUACAUGCCACCUUUCCCGGACCCCACGUUUGGGAUUGCAUUGGGUUUGUUGGUGUUGUAUUAGUGAAGGACAUAAAUCUUGCUCGCUAGAAAAAGUACUGAUUUCAUGUUUCUUAUUUAACUGACAGUAUCGGAUGCAAAGUACUGAUCUCAUGUUUCUUAUUUAACUGACAGUAUCGGAUGCAUUCUUCUUUCUGUUGGACAAGAUGAUUUUCAUGGUGAAGCAUUGGACACACUAAAAUAUGUUGUAAACCAGUCGGACUACACUGAACAGACAUUGAGAAAUGUAACACAAUACCUAUUACUCGCAAAAACUGUAAAUGUGGCCCAGAUUUUCCUCCCUUCAGACGUAAAAGAUGAUAUUGAUCGUAUAAAUGGAGACCUAACUUCUGCAGCAGAUACACUUGAGGAGAAAACAAAUGAAAACUCAGGAAAGAUACGAAGGGUCUUCAAUGCUGUGUAUGCCUCGAAUUAAUUUACUGUUACUCUUCAGUGUUUGCUUUUUCUUCAAACGUCUGAUAUUAAUGUGCAAAUGGCACUUUACAGGCGGUCAGCUUUGAUCACUGUAGCCGUCAUCAUGCUUCUCAUCUCUAUUCUUGGUCUUUGUACGUAUUACUACACCGAGCUACUUUUGUUCUCAAACAUUCGCGCUUAAACAUUAUUUUGAGACUGAAAUGACAUUUCUUGCAGGCCUCUCUAUACUUGGCCAUCAACACACAAUUCACAUGUAAGCUUCUCAAACAAUUAGCUUGUCCUUCUGUUUUAUCGACAUUCCCAGUCAUCUCACAAUCCAAUGCUAUGAUGCAGAUUUAUCAUUAGUGGAUGGUUGCUGGUGGCCUUUACAUUCGUUCUCUAUGGAGUUUUUGUCAUCAUUAACAAGUAAGAAACAAUGUCUAAAAUUGGGUUUUCAUUUAGUACCGAGGCUUGUAUUUGCCAUUCUUUAGUUUUCUACUCUUUUCCUUGUUCCUGGGGUUGCAAAAUGCUUUCUUUGUUCAACACCCAAGGGUGUGGCCUAUCUAUCGGUCAAUGAAGUGAGAUGGUAAGGUGCUUGGUGAUUUCUUUACAUUUGCUAAAACUUGAUGGGUAGAGUACUACUCCUCUGCUGGUCCCGUAAAAUAGUCGGGAUGAUGGUAAGCUAUCUCAGACAAAACCGUUAUUCAAAGGAGAAGUGCUCUCUUAAUUCAGUCAACCAUACGUAUGUCCAGUAUUCCGGCAGCACCGGGGAGUAACUUCCCGACAUGCUUAGCUUUCUCAAUCAGUCCAUCUCUUUCAUUUAUCGUUUUUUUGAUAAGUGUAAAAGGCAGAAUAAGAAUAGUUCCAAGAUUGGAAGGAAUCGCUGAUCAGUACGCUUUUUUUUUUGUUUUCCGGUCCAGUGCAAUUGCAGAUACUUGUAUGGCAAUGGGAGAGUGGGUGGACAAUCCUCAUGCUGAAAGUGCUCUUAGCAACAUCCUUCCAUGCGUUGACCCGAGAACUACAAAUCAGACGCUGUUCAAGAGCAAACAAGUCACUGUUGAUCUCGUAAAUAUUGUCAAUGGAUUUAUCGAUACAUACGCAAAUUCCAAUCCAUCUAAUCAUCUCAAUUCAAAUUACUAUAAUCAGUCCGGACCCGUUAUGCCACAUCUUUGCUAUCCAUAUGACUCCCAAUUGCAAGAUCUGCCAUGCCCGGCCGAUCAAGUGUCUAUGGCAAAUUCUUCUAUGGUAAGUGUUCAAUGUUUCUCUUCCCGCUCAGUCACUCCCCUUCUACAGUUGUUUUUAGUUUAUGUUACUCGGACUCUUCAAAAAUGUUGCCAGCUGCAUAUCUGAUCUUCAUAAAGUAGUGUAUUUCUGGAGGAUUUAACGCGGGUGUGGCAAACAUUUUUGGAGAGUCGGAUUAACAUAGAUUUUAAUUGGAUUUUGAUCUAUGCUGCUUGGACUCUUUGAAAACGUUGACGGGUGCAUUGGAUCCUCCAAAAGUAGUGCAUUUGGGAGGAGCCAACACGGGUGCGGCAACAUUUUUGGAGAGUCCGAAUUUUGUUCUAGUUCUUUUGUUCAGAAUUUUCAGAAUCUUGGGCAUUCAAUAUUUUGUAAUCCUAUUAAGCUACUUCUGCAAUAAUUUCCAGGUAUGGCAGAAUUAUACAUGCAAUGUAUCCGAGGCCGGAAUGUGCACGACCGUCGGGAGGUUAACACCCGACAUGUACGAACAGUUAGUGGCAACGGUCAACAUUAGCUACGCUCUCGAACACUAUGCGCCACCGCUUCUCAAUCUCCAGAACUGCAAUUUCGUCCGCGAUACAUUCAGGAACAUCACAGCCAACCACUGCCCUCCGUUGGAACACCAUCUCCAUGUCGUCAACGCAGGGUUAGCCGUCAUCUCAGUCGGAGUCAUGCUAAGUCUCGCGUUGUGGAUAGUAUAUGCAAACCGCCCCCAAAGGGAGGAAGUGUUUGCGAAGCUGUCUUCGCGUAUAAAGAGUAGCUGCAAUGGCAAGAAUGUUAGCUGCAGCAAUAGUAACAUUGAUUUGUCAUCAAGAGGGACUACUCCAAAAAUUGGAGUGUAGAUAUAAUACUAUAAUACGAAGGGGAGCCUCGGAGUUACUAGUAAAGUUGUUGUCAUGUGACUAGGAGGUCACAAGUUCAAGCCUUGGAAACAGCCUCUGGCAGAAAUGCAAGGUAAGGCUGCGCGUACGAUACACUCUUGUGGUGGGGUCCUUCCCCGGACACCGCGCAUAGCGAUAGCUUUAGUGCAUCGGGCUACCUUUUUCUUUUAGAUAUAAUACUAUAAUAGAGUUUGAGCAUAGAAAAAAAUGUAGAAACAUUGUGGCAUGAGAUUCAUUUUGAUCUCUUUAUAAGCUUUUUUGUUCAAUGUAUGGGGCAAAGCACCAUAUUUUUGAGCAAGGCAUUGAUAGCCAUUUUUAUUUUCAAUAUAUUCAAUUGCUGUUACUGUUGUAUUCACUAUAACUAUUCUGGUUAAUGUGCAAAAUGUUCAUUUUCAUUUUCACAAUAGUAAUAAUGACGGUGAAUCAAAGCAAGAUUAAUUACUUUAAUUUGGGGAUAUUUUUGGAGUAUUUGUAACUUAAUGUUAUUAUCCAUCCUUAAUUAAUGAAAAGUUUUUUUUUGGAGCAUUGUUGUUCUUUUUAAUUUUUGUUGUGAUAUUGCUAUGUUUAUGUAGUUUUGAGUUUUUAUUUGUUUCUCACACCGUACUUGGUUCUUGUUUAUUUGAUAUUUAUAUUAAGAGAUUAUUUAUUAUACUAUUAGAAGUACCUAAAGUGAAGGGUUAGCUUUAUAAUGUUGAUAAUUAGUUCCUCAAAAUAACAAAUAUUAGGAAAAAUAAUAAUAUUGAAACAUCAUAACCCUAAGCAGAAACAUGUAGAUUAUUAAUUUUGUCGUUGUAAUUGUAUACUCUUUUCGUUUCAAAAUAAUUGCUAUGUAGAGUAUUAAUUUUAUCGUUGCAAUUGUAUACUCUUUUUGUUUCAAAAUAGUUGCUCUUAUUAAUUUGAAAUUUCUUUUAAGAAAAUUUAUGAAGAGUUUAUUUUAUUAAUUUAGUCUUAUUAAUUCUACAGUUUUGAAAAUGACUUUUAAAAUCACCAAGAACAUUUAGUUGUGAUCCAUAAGUGGUUUUUUUGGAAGAAGGUUGGAGAUAAUUUUAUAACUUUUUUGAUUUAAUUAAUUUUAGAAAUCACGAUAAAUAAUUUGAGUGAAUAAAAAAAGUAUUUAACCUUUCCUCUCACUGACAAAAAUUUGGGUAUUAUAUUGCAUGUGUCUAUAGGCGUGCAUGCAUGCAAUCACACAUUACAAUAAAACUUUAUUAAAAAAUGUCAGUUAGAGCUCUGACUUGAAUUUUGUUGGUUUGGUUCUGAAAAUUUUGUGGUACGAUCCAUAUUUAUGAUUUUCAAUGAGAUCUGUGGUGGUAGCGUAGGAAUUGGGCCGAUAGGCUCGAUCUUGGAGCCCACCACUGAUCCCGAUGGGGUGCGGGGGCUUCGCCUAUGCGGUAUGAAUCUUUAUGUUUUUGGGCCUAGAUCUUAUUUGUACGCACAUACAAUAUAAGUGUAAUUAGUGGGUUGGUUUUGGACAUUCAGAAAUUACGUCAUUCUCCACAUUGUACUCCUCUCCUUUCAUAGUAAAAUUCCUCUACCUCUACCCGUAGUUUUUGCCGUAAGAAUUUCCAUGUAAAUUUGUGUGUUAUUCUUGUUUUUCUUUUACUUGUGGUUUGCUUAUUAUUCUGUCCGAAUAAUAAUAAUAUUAAAAGCUUUAUUUUAUUUUAUUUAAGCGGAUUAUCAGUAUAAUGUUUACACCCUUAUGAUGGAGCCCUUCCCCGAACAAUGCGCAUAACGAUAGCUUUAGUGCACCGAACUGCCCUUUAUUUAAGUGGAUUAUCAGUAUAAUGUUUACAAUGUAUAGAAUUUUGAUAUUUAAUAGUGCUUUGUACAUACAAAGAAGUUUAAUAUAAUAAUUAUAUAUGCACAUUGUUAUGCACAAUAUCAAGAGAUUUUUGAAGUGUGAUUGUACAUUGUGAAUAAUACAUUGUUAUUGUCGUCCAAUAAAUUUGUUUUUCUUCUUCUUGUUUUUUCUAAUUGUUUAAAAAGAUAUUUAUUUUAAUUUUUGUCAUCUCUUGAUUAAAGUUGUAAGGUUAAAAGAUAUUUUGAUACGUUUUGUAAAUUUUUGAAUAAAGUCCAAGCAACAAAGACUUAUUCAGUAUAACCUCAUAAGUGAAAUAUGAUAAUAUUUAUUUUGUUUGGUUGGAUUUGAUUGUGUCGUAGCUUUAUAAUUCAAAUUAAGUUUAUAGUUGGAUGAACUGCAUUGCUUAUAUUAAUCCCCCAAAGAAAGACAAUAGAUACAACUCAGUCGUGAACAACCCACCAUUGUACUGUAAAAAUUAAAUAGGUUCGAUCUAUAGAUUAUAGUCAUUAGAGCCUCCUAAAACAAUCUACUAAAUUCAUUGAGUUGUUUCAAAAACCUGACUAUCCUUAUUUUUUUAUCAUGUCUCUCGUACUAAUAACCUAUUUGACCAAACUUAUUUUUCUCUCUCUAAAAGUGCUUAUUUUUUAAAAAUAAUUAUCAAUCAAAAAGUGUUUUUAAAAUUUCUCACCAUAAUCAUUUUUUUUUAAAAUCACUUUUUAAAAUAAAUUAUUUUUAUAAGCUUAACCAAACAACCUAUAAACCACGUAUCUAUUUUAACACUUUCAUUUUCAUAUGCUAAAUUUGAUAGCUUUUAAUUAAUCAACACUUUAUCGAGUAUGACAAAAUUAAUCUAACUACUGCUCUACAAAACUUACCUUAGCGAUCCCUUUUUUACCACUCAAUCAAAAACCAAUAGAUUAAAAUGUAUUUUUACUUUCUUAAAUUCGAUGUAAGUAAAAUAUUAAAUGAAUAAAUUGAAAGGGGGAAUGCUAAUAAAUAUAGUGUUAUUCUAAAAUAAAAUCUCAUUCUUCCUUUUUUUAUAAAAUUCAUUCGUGUUUGACUUUUAUCUUUGUCACUCUCUCCAUAUGUAUGUGUACAUAUAUAUUUGUUUCUGUAAAUAAUAAAAUUUCACAAAAAUAUAUACUCUUUUUUUUUUUUUUUUUUUUUUUUUUUUUAAAAAAAAUUUUGGUCAUGAAUUAUUGUGUAAUUUUGGUAGUAAUUUUGGUUGUAUCAUUUUCAAUUAGUGUUACAAGUGGAUCUCAUGAACGUGUGAUUCUUAGAGCUAUCAUAAAGGAGGAGAAGAGUAAUAAAAAUGGCGAAUUUGCUAUUGAUUUGAAUGCCACCAACUUUGAUUCUGUUUUUAAUGACACUCCUACCCCUUUUGCCAUUCUUGAAUUCUUUGCUCACUGGUUAGUUCUUUUCUUUUUUUGCUUUUUUCUUUUGCAUAUUUUAUUGAUUUGGGGUUUCAAGAACUACAUUUUUCUAGCUGAAUUCAUGGUUAUUUGGUGUAGAUAAAGUUGUAUAUGUUGUUGUUGUUGUCUCUGUGUGUGUUGAUGGAGUGUUUUGGAUGAGGUAGAGGUAGUCGGAAAAAGUAUUGGAGAGAGAGGUGAUUAGACAGGAUAUGAUGUAGUUUCAGCUUAUCAAGGACACUGUUUAGUUCUUUUCUAUUUUUGCUUUUUCUGCAUAUUUUCUUAAUUUGGGGUUUCAAGAAUUACAUUUUUCUAGCUGAAUUCAUGGUUAUUUGGUGUAGAUGAGAUUGUCUCUGUAUGUGCGUGUUGUGUGUGUGUUUAUGGAGUGUUUUGGAUGAGGUAGAGGUGGUCAGAAAAAGUAUUGGAGAGAGGUGAUUAGACAGGAUAUGACGUAGUUUCAGCUUAUCGAGGACAAUGUUUAGUUCUUUUCUAUUUUUGCUUUUUCUGCAUAUUUUCUUAAUUUGGGGUUUCAAGAAUUACAUUUUUCUAGCUGAAUUCUGGUUAUUUGGUGUAGAUGAGGUUGUCUCUGUAUAUGUGUGUGUGUGUUAAUGGAGUGUUUUGGAUGAGGUAGAGGUAGUCGGAAAAAAGUAUUGAGGAGAGGUGCUUAGACAGUAUAUGGCGUAGUUACAGGCUUACAGCUUACCGAGGACAUGAGUUUAGAUAGGAGGAUAUGGGGGUCGCGGAAUCAAGAUUAGAUGGUUAGUAGGUACUCUCUCUAGUCCAAUAUAAGUGAAUUGCUGGAGUGUGGAACACCCCUUAUAGCCCAUUUUAUAAAAUUUUGAUGAAAGAAUUAAACCUAAAUAGUU
rnacentral:lncRNA from 1 species